rnacentral:rRNA from 1 species
UACGGAAGGGGCAAGCGUUGUUCGGAAUCAUUGGGCGUAAAGGGCGUGUAGGUGGUCCUGUAUGUCUACCGUGAAAGCGUACGGCUCAACCGUAUUUAGUCGGUAGAAACUGCAGGACUUGAGGCUGGGAGGGGCUGGUGGAAUUCCCUGUGUAGCGGUGAAAUGCGUAGAGAUGGGGGAGAACACUCGUGGCGAAGGCGGCCAGCUAGACCAGUUCUGACACUGAGGCGCGACAGCGUGGGGAGCAAACAGG